rnacentral:tRNA from 1 species
GACAAUGUCCUCGAGUGGUUAAGACAUGUGACCUGGAUGGAGUGCAUUCUAUACUGGACUCAAAAGCCACCUCUUCGAAGGCAUAGGUUGGAACCCUGUCAUUGUCA